GUGAUCUGCGGAAGGAUCAUUG
rnacentral:rRNA from 1 species